rnacentral:rRNA from 1 species
UCAAGCAAUAAGGGCACAGGGCGGAUGCCUUGGCACUAAGAGCCGAUGAAAGACGUGAUAAGCUGCGAUAAGCUUCGGGGAGGAGCAAAUAUCCAUUGAUCCGGAGAUGUCUGAAUGGGGAAACCCACAUGAGCAAACCUCAUGUAUCCUACAGCCAAUACAUAACUGUAGGAAGGGAACCCGGGGAACUGAAACAUCUAAGUACCCGGAGGAAAAGAAAGAAAACUCGAUUCCGUAAGUAGCGGCGAGCGAACGCGGAGGAGCCUAAACCGGAAUGCGUGCAUUCCGGGGUUACGGACUGCAUUUAAGAUUCUUUGAAGCUAACAGAACGGUUUUGGGAAAGCCGGCCGGAGAGGGUGAAAGCCCCGUACGUGAAAGCUGAUGAGACUGAGCAGGAUCCAGAGUACCACGAGACACGUGGAACCUUGUGGGAAAUCAGGGGGACCACCCCCUAAGGCUAAAUACUACUUAGUGACCGAUAGCGCAUAGUACUGUGAAGGAAAGGUGAAAAGGACCCCGGGAGGGGAGUGAAAGAGAACCUGAAACCCUGUGUCUACAAGCUGUGGGAGCACUUUAUAUGUGCGACCGCGUACUUUUUGUAGAACGGUCCGGCGAGUUACGCUUACUGGCAAGGUUAAGCACUUCAGGUGUGGAGCCGUAGGGAAACCAAGUCUUAAGAGGGCCUUAAGUCAGUAGGAGUAGACCCGAAACCGGGUGAUCUAUCCAUGUCCAGGUUGAAGCUGCCGUAAGAGGUAGUGGAGGACCGAACCCACAUCCGUUGAAAAGGGUGGGGAUGAGGUGUGGAUAGGGGAGAAAUUCCAAUCGAACCCGGAGAUAGCUGGUUCUCCUCGAAAUAGCUUUAGGGCUAGCCUCGAUACAGAUUUGCGGAGGUAGAGCACUGAAUUUCCUAGGGGGCGUCAAAGCCUACCGAAGAAUAUCAAACUCCGAAUGCCGCAGAAUUGCUUACCGGGAGUCAGACUGCACGAGAUAAGUUGGGCAGUCGAAAGGGAAAGAGCCCAGACCUUCAGUUAAGGUCCCAAAGUGCGCGUUAAGUGGAAAAGGAUGUGGGAUUUCGAAGACAACCAGGAUGUUGGCUCAGAAGCAGCCAUACAUUCAAAGAGUGCGUAAUAGCUCACUGGUCGAGAGGUCCUGCGCCGAAAAUGUCCGGGGCUGAAACACGACACCGAAGCUGAGGAAUCCUGAAAGGGAUUGGUAGAGGAGCAUUGCAUAAGGGAAGAAGCAGUACCGUAAGGAGCUGUGGACUUUAUGGAAGAGAGAAUGCCGGAAUGAGUAGCGAGAUAGAGGUGGGAAUCCUCUAGGCCGAAUAUCCAAGGUUUCCAGAGUAAAGCUGAUCUGCUCUGGGUAAGUCGGGGCCUAAGGCGAGGACGAGAGUCGUAGCCGAUGGACAACAGGUGGAGAUUCCUGUACUGCGGUAUGACAGAACUGUGGGGACACGUAAGGAAAGCGGAAGCCGGGAAUGGAAAGCCCGGUGCAAGCGGGGUACCAGUCACUUUGGCAAAUCCGGGUGGCAAUGGGAAGCCGUGAUGCGGAGCGAAAUAAAGUAGCGAAGUCCGUGAGCCAUGCGUCAAGAAAAGCCGCUAUUGUUUAUACCGUACCCGUACCGUAAACCGACACAGGUGGAUGAGGAGAGAAUCCUAAGGCCGGCGGAAGAAGCAUUGUCAAGGAACUCGGCAAAAUGGCCCCGUAACUUAGGGAUAAGGGGUGCCUGGGAAACCAGGCCGCAGAGAAUAGGCUCAAGCAACUGUUUAGCAAAAACACAGGUCUAUGCAAAACCGAAAGGUGAGGUAUAUGGGCUGACGCCUGCCCGGUGCUGGAAGGUUAAGAGGAGAGGUUAGAGCAAUCGAAGCUUUGAAUUUAAGCCCCAGUAAACGGCGGCCGUAACUAUAACGGUCCUAAGGUAGCGAAAUUCCUUGUCGGGUAAGUUCCGACCCGCACGAAAGGCGUAAUGAUUUGAGCGCUGUCUCGACAAUGCAUCCGGUGAAAUUGAAGUACCAGUGAAGAUGCUGGUUACCUGCGCCAGGACGGAAAGACCCCAUGGAGCUUUACUCCAGCUUGAUACUGGGAUUCG